AAACGGGUAUACGAAUCAACAUUUAUCCUGUCACACGCCUUUAUACUUAUAUUGCAAUUCUUGGGGGUUAAAUGUUAACACUGAUAAAACAAAAAUAAUAGUUUUUCGGAAGAGGGGCGGACUAAAAGAUAACGAAAAAUGGACAUACAAUGGUGCGACGCCAGAAGCGAUCAACCAAUCAGCGACGCUGGAUAACGACGGUAACUUUGUCGUGAACUGGAACAAUAACUCGAGCCACGUGACAUUCGAUGUUCACGUAAAGACGCAUGGCUACGUUUGGUUUGGACUUUUCCCUAAUGGAAACAUGUUCCCGGCGGAAGUCGUGGUCGGCUGGGUCAAGAAUGGGCAUGUCUUCUUUCAUGUAACUGUAAAAUAAUUUAAAAAAAAAACACGCCCAUUCACAGAUUUUGGCAUGUUUUGAAGUUUGUUAUAAAAUUCUUUAAAUUGA